rnacentral:misc_RNA from 1 species
GAAAAAUUUGAUUUUCAUCUUAUUGGAAUGUGAUUUAUUUGUUUCAUUUUAGGGUGUACUUUAGAUGCAUAGCAAGGGAAUGAGAUUAAAGUUUUUGAGUUCAUAUAGAACCUGGUUUGCUAUCUUCUGAUCUGGAAACACAUUGAGUUAUUAAAUCGUUUAGGAUUGUCUUGAAGCAUUAAGCUUUCCUUUUCUGUUAGUAAUUUUUUCGUUAGCCUCUGAUUUGGGGGUAUAUGUAUAUGCUAUACUUUUCCAUGGUUAUUUAUGUUUCAAUAGAAAUCUACCUCUGUUUAAAUUUCAGAAUUCCAUAUAUUAGGUUUUUUUUAUAUAUAUAUAAUUUAGGACAUAUAUUUGGAAUUUUAUGAGUAUUGGUUUCUGGCUUUGGUCAUAUGUAUUGGAUUAGAGUACCUUAUUUAUUGACUUCAGAUGAAAG